rnacentral:rRNA from 1 species
CCUACGGGCGGCAGCAGUGAGGAAUAUUGGUCAAUGGCCGCAGGGCUGAACCAGCCAAGUCGCGUGAGGGAUGACGGUCCUAUGGAUUGUAAACCUCUUUUGUCAGGGAGCAAAGGGCGCCACGUGUGGCGCUUUGCGAGUACCUGAAGAAAAAGCAUCGGCUAACUCCGUGCCAGCAGCCGCGGUAAUACGGAGGAUGCGAGCGUUAUCCGGAUUUAUUGGGGUUAAAGGGUGCGCAGGCGGAAUGUCAAGUCAGCGGUAAAAUUUCGGGGCUCAACCCCGUCGUGCCGUUGAAACUGGCGUUCUUGAGUGAGCGAGAAGUAGGCGGAAUGCGUGGUGUAGCGGUGAAAUGCAUAGAUAUCACGCAGAACUCCGAUUGCGAAGGCAGCAUACCGGCGCUCAACUGACGCUCAUGCACGAAAGCGUGGGUAUCGAACAGGAUUAGAUACCCCAGUAGUC